GUGCCAGCAGCCGCGGUAAUACGUAGGUGGCAAGCGUUGUCCGGAAUUAUUGGGCGUAAAGCGCGCGCAGGCGGUCCUUUAAGUCUGAUGUGAAAGCCCACGGCUCAACCGUGGAGGGUCAUUGGAAACUGGGGGACUUGAGUGCAGAAGAGGAGAGCGGAAUUCCACGUGUAGCGGUGAAAUGCGUAGAGAUGUGGAGGAACACCAGUGGCGAAGGCGGCUCUCUGGUCUGUAACUGACGCUGAGGCGCGAAAGCGUGGGGAGCAAACAGGAUUAGAUACCCCUGGUAGUCC
rnacentral:rRNA from 1 species